rnacentral:lncRNA from 1 species
GACAGGGGGCACGGGGAUUAUCUGUGUAGCAUAGGCAUGUGACCUUUGACUAAGCUCUUACCCCUGCACUGUAAUGUGCUGAAAUGUCUUUGUAGACCUGAAGGUGCACUUAACUAAACUGCCUACUAAGGAAUGACUCUCAUCUGGUCCACUUCACACUCCCUUCCCCAGGUGUUUGCCCUUUCACCCCCUUCUUAGGUAUUGAGCCUUGAUAGCUCAAGCCCCAAUGCUAAGACCCGUUUUCUCUGUAAGGAGAAGACUUAUGAUAUACUGAUAGCCAUAGCCCAUCUCUUCCAACAUGUAGGGCCCUAGUUCCAUAGGGUGCCCUUGGAAGGAUCAGGUCAUCCUGUGGCUAUUAGCCAUCCCAGAAUCUCUGAAGUGCUUAACUCACUUCAAGUGAUCUGAAUCAGAGAGACCAAAGAUAUUAAUUUUCUCUGUCCUCAGAUUUCUAGAAGACAGACUAUGGCCAGGAAAGGCUUUAUUUUGGUUUGGGCUUUCUCUCUCUCCUUUCUCCAUCUGUACACAUCCCCUACCUCACUCCCCACUUGAGACCUAAAUUUUGAAGCUCAAUGACCCUGUUCACUGGGAGUGUGUUUGUGGGUUAGUCCAGAAUAUCAGGUCCAACAAUUUCCCCCACACUGUAGUCAAUGGACAGUCAUUUUCUCUAACACAAAACUGUGUGGUGGAUUUAGAUUCCACUGAGGUGGAACUGGGGUUGCCACAGCCUUGAUCUUCUUGAGACUAGACAGAACAAGAGUGGUGGCUGAGAAAUACAUUUUCCUAAGUAGAAAUGAGGUACAACCCAUAAAGGACUUUCUUCACAGUGAGCGUAGCAGUUACGACUUUUUCAAAUUAGAGUCUAAAGGAAUCAGUAAAGAAGUAAAAAAGAAAAAAAAUUCGUUUUCAACCUCAUGCUUCAUAUAAGAGGCCUCAAAGCACAUGCUUAUUUUUUUUAAAGCAACUUUAAAUUUUAAUUCCUUGUUUGGUAGAUUAGCUUGAACAAAAAGUAGGAAAUGAACGUUAGCAGAAGGCAGUUCCCCAUUUUCUUCCAGGGAUGACUUAUUCCUGGGAGCAGUGAGAAUUGGUGGGUGGUAACCAUCCAUAGUAUAAAAUUGUUAGAAAGAGUAUAAACUGCCAAACAACCACAUUAUCUUCCAGCCCUUUUCCAAGAGUGAAGCCUUUUGAUAUUUAUAUUCACUUGGAGAAGACAAACAAACUAGAGUUUGAGGAAUAGACCCAGGCUUGGUUGAAGUGUUCUCUCAGGUGGUGGACUCUCACCUACAGCAGGGUCCAGCAGGACUUACAUUUAUAGCACAGGACUUCAGGGUAUAUGCAGACAUGUCUAGAAUGACUCAGGUAACCCUUCAAGAAUUGUACCUUACUUGUUGCUUUUGUAAAGAAGCAAGCAGGAACUGAAUUGUUAACCAAAAGUAUUCCAUUACCUUGGGCCACUGUGCAAACUCAUUCAGGGCAUACACAUAAUGUUAAAAGCUCCAGGAUCAAGUGGCAGCCUCUUUUCUCAUUGACUCAUGGGAGUGCCAAUGUGUAGGAAAAGCAUUAGGCUCUGCUGUCUUUCGUACAGCUUGGGGAAGGUUGACACUAGUCACAGUGAUUUUCAUAUAGGAGUUAUUAGGGAAUUUGUGAUAUGAGACUUCAAAAGAUCUAGAAAGCCCUCCCCCCCUAAAUCAAAGAAGAAGAAGUGGAUAAGGAAAGAAAAUGGAAGGAGAAAGUACCCACAGAGUAUGCUAGGUCAUAACUGUCUUUCCUCUUCAAAACUUGCAGAAGUCUCCUUCUUCAAUGCACUGUUUAGGAGUCACGUACGAAGCAGCCAUAAGUUGGUGACAUGGUCUCUAUGACAUACCUCUAAGAUGAAAGAUAGACUAUUCCUGAGGCUAAAACUACAGUCUAGAAGUAUUAAUCUGAUGUGCACCCUCAGGACGACAAACCAUUGAAGCUGAUUCUGAAGUUCUGUUUUCUUUCUUGGCUUUGCCAAUUGCUUCCUCCUUGAGUUAAGGACACGUCUCAUCUCAUCACCCCUGCACUUGCCCUGCCCUAACCGUUUACUAUGUUGGGUUGAGGAUACUGAAAGUUACGAAUGGAGAACCUAAGGAUGCGCAUAGUUUUCAUCUAUGCAAUUUUACUUGGUUCUGUCACUUCAUGAUCUGUUCAUAUUUGGCAUCAAUUAAAGAUAAUUUUUAAGGAUCUUAUCAUGGAA